AUGCCACGCUGAUGACAUUGCCUAAGUAAUUCUUUAAAUCUUUCCCAAGCUUCCAAUGGUGACUCAUCAUCUCCUUGCCUAAUUGAGGUAAUCUCAUUUCUCAUCUU